rnacentral:rRNA from 1 species
GACGAACGCUGGCGGCGUGCUUAACACAUACAAGUCGAACGGAAAGGCCCUGCUUUUGUGGGGUGCUCGAGUGGCGAACGGGUGAGUAACACGUGAGUAACCUGCCCUUGACUUUGGGAUAACUUCAGGAAACUGGGGCUAAUACCGGAUAGGAGCUCCUGCUGCAUGGUGGGGGUUGGAAAGUUUCGGCGGUUGGGGAUGGACUCGCGGCUUAUCAGCUUGUUGGUGGGGUAGUGGCUUACCAAGGCUUUGACGGGUAGCCGGCCUGAGAGGGUGACCGGCCACAUUGGGACUGAGAUACGGCCCAGACUCCUACGGGAGGCAGCAGUGGGGAAUAUUGCACAAUGGGCGGAAGCCUGAUGCAGCAACGCCGCGUGCGGGAUGACGGCCUUCGGGUUGUAAACCGCUUUCGCCUGUGACGAGGCGUGAGUGACGGUAAUGGGUAAAGAAGCACCGGCUAACUACGUG